GGCUAAUUUUUUGUAUUUUUAGUAGAGACGGGGUUUCACCAUAUUGGUCAGGCUGGUCUCAAACUCCUGACCUCAGGUUAUCCACCCACCUCGGCCUCCCAAAGUGCUGGGAUUACAGGCAUGAGCCACCGCGCCCGGCCGGACACCAUUCUUUUUCAAUGAAACAGUCUGAUUCCAGAGAAUGAGACUUCCAGUUUGAAUGCAAAGUGUGUGGUCCCAAAGUUGAAUUCUUUUGAACCCAAGUACAUGCCUGCGGUUGGGAGGAACACUUAAAGAUGAAGCAAGUUCGGAGGAAAGUGUUAACUGAACUACAGAGAUGGUCACUGAUAAAACAAGUUCUUAGAAGUUCUCAGACACACCCAGAAGUGAAGGGCAGCCAAAACUAUCAACACAAUGGAAAAAUGAGCUCACCCAACUGCACACACAGAGCUUCUAGAAGGGUUAACAGCUCUUGCCAUAGGUUCCUGGUUGUAGUUUACAAUAUCUGCCUUUACCACCCUCUGUGACUGUUCUAUUUCUGCUUUGUUUAAUUUGAUUCCAAGGAUUUCAGCAACAACUUUUUGAAAACACAGGAAGACAGAGUCUCUUGCCUUGGCUGAAACAAAGUGGCUAUUAAAACCAUUUUCCUGGCAAAACCGGGAACACCAAUUUGAAUGGCAGCAAAUUUUUCACCUGAAA
rnacentral:lncRNA from 1 species